UUUCUGUGUCCAGGUGGACAUUGGCGGUGGGACGCUAAUUCAUGAAACAAUCAUCAACCAGUUGUGUCGAGCCUGCGACAGUCGCAAUGACCCUGGCAAAUUUGCCAGGGCACGUUUGCUCCACGUUUUCACAGAAGACGAGCUGCGGGGCAAGUUCCCCUUGGAGGGAAAAGCUGUCUUCGGGGAGACUACACAAAAGGAGGCCCUCGAUCCCGCACGUGUGGAGGCUGUGAUAGGAUACACUUGUACACAAUUUCCUGGGCAAGCGUUCCAUACUUGAAAAACAGUCUGUCCUCUCUCCUCUCCCGAGAAAUAAAAUGAGUAGAAUGCCUUGUUGGU